UACAGAGGGGGCAAGCGUUAUUCGGAAUUAUUGGGCGUAAAGGGCGCGUAGGCGGCUUUGCAAGUGACGGGUGAAAUCCCUCGGCUUAACCGAGGAACUGCCUGUCAGACUGUGAGGCUUGAGACCGGGAGAGGUGAGUGGAAUUCCCAGUGUAGCGGUGAAAUGCGUAGAUAUUGGGAGGAACACCAGUGGCGAAGGCGGCUCACUGGACCGGAACUGACGCUGAGGCGCGAAAGCGUGGGAGCAACAGGAUUAGAUACC
rnacentral:rRNA from 1 species